rnacentral:rRNA from 1 species
GAUCCUGGCUCAGGAUGAACGCUGGCGGCGCGCCUAACACAUGCAAGUCGAACGAUUAAAGCACCUUCGGGUGUGUAUAAAGUGGCGAACGGCUGAGUAACACGUGGGCAACCUGCCCCUCUCAUUGGGAUAGCCACGGGAAACCGUGGAUAAUACCGAAUACUUCGAGUCUCCCGCAUGGAAGACUCGAGAAAGCUCCGGCGGAGAGGGAUGGGCCCGCGGCCUGUUAGCUUGUUGGUGGGGUAACGGCCUACCAAGG